AUGAAGACCCAACAACACGAAGCUCGCCGCACCACCCGGCACAGCGGCCAGGUAGUUACCUCCGCCGGUUUACCGAACAGUCCGGUUCGGAAGCGCCAUUCUGAGGUUACUUCCCACUCAUCUUCUGGCGAGUCAUCGGCUACUCAGCUCCCACCGCUCAAAACGGUGUUUGGGGCCAAACCUAGGCCAAGCAAGAAGGCCCGCCUGGACAAAGCGGCCAAAGAGGAUGUCGUUCUUGAAGCGGACAAGACACCCAACGCUGAAGCGGCUAUUCAUGUGGAUAUUCCCAAUGAUCCACCGCAACAAGAUGAUGAUCUUAUUGCAGAAGAGAGACCCACUGACACCUCAGAUCCUACCCAUCAGCCUACAAGUUCCAUCCGGAUUGAAAGCUCCAUCGGUCCAGCAAAGCCUACUGACAAGCCAACAGCUCCAGUGCAAACCGGUGGUACCAAAGAUGAUGAGGUUGUCAUUACUGGUACUGGCCAUACUGAGCCAAACAAUCCUAUCGCUUUAUCCAAACAUUCUGCCAAGGAAGAACUUGCUGCCUUUGGUAAAGGCAAGUGGAACGCUGAUCUGACGACUUACGCUGCUCUGAACGCCCAAGUUAUCCAUUCCGGCUAUCUGAACCGGCUGUAUACCAGCCGUGACUAUGAAGCCGGUCUGGUCAACAUGAUGAAAGACAAAUAUGAGGCGGAGCUGAAGACGAAAGAGAACCAAGUCAUCGAUCUUCAAGAAGCCCUGAAAACCCAACAAGUUGAAACCUCCAAAGCAAAAGAGGAAUUGACCAGUGCUUUAAGCGCCAUGGAACAACUUAAGGAAAACUUCAAAAAGAAACGGGCGGACUGGGCCACUGAGAAAUCCGCUUUGAUCAAACGAGCAGAGGAUGCUGAGGCUGCACUAAAACCAGUGGAAGAUGAACUGACCAGCAUAAAGCGGCACGUGCAUGCCAUGACUGCUGCUAUCUUUGGGACACGCAUUGGUCACUUGGGGUCAGAUGUACGGAAGAAGCUAAAAGCCGCCUAUACAUUGGUUGAACAAUUGUAUGCUGGUGCCCAGCGGAUCAUCUGUACCGCCUCUCAUAACAAACCGGCGCCUACUUUGAUUCAAGAUACUCCGAUGAAACUGUCGGUGCUUCCUGCCCGGAUUGAAGAGCUAAAGAAAUCUCCUGCUCAAACUGGCGCAAUCAAUGCUUUAAUCUGGGCAAAAGCCUGGGUGCCGGAUUUUGAUCCUGUUGAAGCGGCUCAGGGCUAUCCCAACUUGAAGGAAGACGGAUAA
rnacentral:rRNA from 1 species